rnacentral:rRNA from 1 species
AUAUUGGACAAUGGGCGCAAGCCUGAUCCAGCAAUGCCGCGUGUGUGAAGAAGGCCUGCGGGUUGUAAAGCACUUUCGAUUGGGAAGAAAAGCUCGGGGUUAAUACCUCCGGGAUUUGACAUUACCUUUAGAAGAAGCACCGGCUAACUCCGUGCCAGCAGCCGCGGUAAUACGGAGGGUGCGAGCGUUAAUCGGAAUUACUGGGCGUAAAGCGCGCGUAGGUGGCCAGGUAAGUCGGAUGUGAAAGCCCCGGGCUUAACCUGGGAACUGCAUUCGAUACUGCCUGGCUAGAGUGUGGUAGAGGAGAGCGGAAUUCCCGGUGUAGCGGUGAAAUGCGUAGAUAUCGGGAGGAACAUCAGUGGCGAAGGCGGCUCUCUGGACCAACACUGACGCUGAGGUGCGAAAGCGUGGGUAGCAAACAGG